GUUCGUGAUGACUGACUAUUUCUUCACUUUGACCUGAUGUCUACUGAAGAAAUCUAGUGUCUGAGA